AGAGUUUGAUCCUGGCUCAGAACGAACGCUGGCGGCAGGCUUAACACAUGCAAGUUGAACGGGAUUUGUGUGGUGCUUGCACCAUAUAAUGAGAGUAGCGCACUGGUGAGUAACACGUGGGAACGUACCUUUUGGUGGGGGACAACAUCUGGAAACGGAUGCUAAUACCGCAUAAGACCUGAGGGUGAAAGAUUUAUCGCCGAAAGAACGGCCCGCGGAAGAUUAGGCAGUUGGUGGGGUAAAGGCCUACCAAACCUACGAUCUAUAGCUGGUCUGAGAGGACGAUCAGCCACACUGGAACUGAGACACGGUCCAGACUCCUACGGGAGGCAGCAGUGAGGAAUAUUGGGCAAUGGAGGCAACUCUGACCCAGCCAUGCCGCGUGAGUGAAGAAGGUUUUCGGAUUGUAAAGCUCUUUCGGAUGUGACGAUGAUGACGGUAGCAUCUAAAGAAGCCCCGGCUAACUUCGUGCCAGCAGCCGCGGUAAUACGAAGGGGGCGAGCGUUGUUCGGAAUUACUGGGCGUAAAGGGUGUGUAGGCGGUUAUGUAAGAUAGCGGUGAAAUCCCGGGGCUUAACCUCGGAAUAGCCGUUAUAACUAUGUAGCUAGAGUUAUGGAGAGGAUAGCGGAAUACCCAGUGUAGAGGUGAAAUUCGUAGAUAUUGGGUAGAACACCGGUGGCGAAGGCGGCUAUCUGGCCAUAUACUGACGCUGAGGCACGAAAGCAUGGGGAUCAAACAGGAUUAGAUACCCUGGUAGUCCAUGCUGUAAACGAUGAAUGCUGGUUGUCGGCUUUAGGGUCGGUGACGAAGUUAACGCGAUAAGCAUUCCGCCUGGGGAGUACGGUCGCAAGAUUAAAACUCAAAGGAAUUGACGGGGACCCG
rnacentral:rRNA from 2 species